ACAAUAUCUCCCUUGGCUGGGCAUGGGGGCUCUCACCUGUAAUCCCAACACAUGGGGAGGCUGAGGCAGGAGGAUUGCUUGAGCCCAGGAGUUCGAGACCAGCCAGGGCAACAUCUCUAUGUAGAAAAAUUAGCCAAGUGUGGUGGUGUGCACCUAUAGUCCCAGCUACUUGGGAGCUUGAGGUGGGAGGAUCACCUCAGCCAGGGGAGGUCAAGGGUACAGUGGGCCAUGAUUGCACCACUGCACUCCAGCCUGGGCAACAGAGUGAGACCCUGUGUGUAAAAAAGAAUAUCUCCCUAGGAGAAUCCAUAGAAAAGUGAGCUAGCAAACUUAGGGAACAUCUAUGUUUGUGGAGCAGGAGGAGAAAAAGUCAAGGGCAGAAAAGUAGUUAAAAAAAAUUAAGAGUAUAAAUGAUGAAAGAGAAAUCAAAGAAGACAACUUGAAGAAGGGAAUGGCCAAUGUGUCAAAUGCAGCAGAGGUCAGGUAAAAGGCAUGAAAUGGGUCCACUGGCUUACAAAAAAGUCAUCAGUACCUUGGUAAGACAAACCACGUUGCAAUGAGAUGUGAAUGUAAACACACUCCAGUUUGUCUGCUGUAGAGUGUGUUACCCCAAACUGAAUCUGAUGUUCUAAGUGUGGUCUGACUGAUGGAGUAAAGUGGGAUCCUCUUCACUUUGGUCAAUCUACUCUGUGUCUACCAAGGUAACUUCAGACCAAAUUAAGGUUGUGGAGUUUGAUUUGUUUUGUUUUUUGGCAAUCCCACUUACUGCACCACUCCAAUAACUCAUAUGAAAUGCAAUCUGCUUAAACCUUAUGUCAUUUCCAUAUGAAGCAGGGGUAACCAUGACUUCCAACUCUGUGCUUGUACAGUUGAGUUUUAAAACUAAAUUCGGAAUUCCAUUCAGCUACAAUUUACAUUGUUAGCUUCAGUUCUUUGUUCCAGCCUAUGGAAAGCUCUAUUCUAAUUCUGCCAACAUUAGUUAUUCUCCUGGCUUUGUGUCAUCCAUAAAUUUUAUUUACUCAUCAUCAGUGUUUCCAUCUAAGUUAUGAAUAAUGUCAAGUCCCACGCAUUCAGGCAAGAGUUGGGUGAAAAUUGGAAGAUAUGGCUGGGUCUGAAGCCAACAACAAUUGUCAAAAUGCUGACACUAGUAGGUCUGAAGCCAGGGGAAUUAGUGAGUUUGGUACUAAGAGUUGUUCAAGGAUGGAUGGGCAGUAGAUAAGGGAUGAUAUAGAAUCCAGGAACUCAGCCAAAUCACAACCCAGAGGAGCAGAUUCAAUACAAUGGGCAAAUCUGGAAGCUAAAGAAAUUGAAGCAACACCUGAAGUCAUAACACACUCAAUGAAGGAAAUGCAUAUAUGAAUACUAACUUUUAUUUCCUCCCUUCCAUAUGCAAGUGUAUCUUUCCUUCAAAAUUUCAAAGACUUUAAUAAAUAAAAAUAUGAUAAAGGUAGGUCUUCUAGCUCUUUUCUUAGGACCUUCUUCUAUGUGGAACAUUUUUGGAUUGGCCAGGUGACCAACUACUAAUUCACCUAACAACUAUCUUCUACUUCAUUCAU
rnacentral:lncRNA from 10 species